rnacentral:rRNA from 1 species
CCUACGGGAGGCAGCAGUGGGGAAUAUUGCACAAUGGGGGAAACCCUGAUGCAGCGACGCCGCGUGAGUGAAGAAGUAUUUCGGUAUGUAAAGCUCUGUCAGCAGGGAAGAAAAUGACGGUACCUGACCAAGAAGCCCCGGCCAACUACGUGCCAGCAGCCGCGGUACUACGGAGGGGGCAAGCGUUAUCCGGAUUUACUGGGUGUAAAGGGAGCGUAGACGGCAGGGCAAGUCUGGAGUGAAAGGCGGGGGCUCAACCCCCGGACUGCUCUGGAAACUGGCAGGCUGGAGUGCAGGAGAGGUAGGUGGAAUUCGUAGUGUAGCGGUGAAAUGCGUAGAUAUUAGGAGGAACACCAGUGGCGAAGGCAGCUUACUGGACUGUAACUGACGUUGAGGCUCGAAAGCGUGGGGAGCAAACAGGAUUAGAUACCCCUGUAGUC